GAGUUUGAUCCUGGCUCAGGACGAACGCUGGCGGCGCGCCUAACACAUGCAAGUCGAACGAGCGAGAGAGAGCUUGCUUUCUCAAGCGAGUGGCGAACGGGUGAGUAACGCGUGAGGAACCUGCCUCAAAGAGGGGGACAACAGUUGGAAACGACUGCUAAUACCGCAUAAGCCCACAGCUCGGCAUCGAGCAGAGGGAAAAGGAGCAAUCCGCUUUGAGAUGGCCUCGCGUCCGAUUAGCUAGUUGGUGAGGUAAUGGCCCACCAAGGCGACGAUCGGUAGCCGGACUGAGAGGUUGAACGGCCACAUUGGGACUGAGACACGGCCCAGACUCCUACGGGAGGCAGCAGUGGGGAAUAUUGCACAAUGGGGGAAACCCUGAUGCAGCGACGCCGCGUGGAGGAAGAAGGUCUUCGGAUUGUAAACUCCUGUUGUUGAGGAAGAUAAUGACGGUACUCAACAAGGAAGUGACGGCUAACUACGUGCCAGCAGCCGCGGUAAAACGUAGGUCACAAGCGUUGUCCGGAAUUACUGGGUGUAAAGGGAGCGCAGGCGGGAAGACAAGUUGGAAGUGAAAUCUAUGGGCUCAACCCAUAAACUGCUUUCAAAACUGUUUUUCUUGAGUAGUGCAGAGGUAGGCGGAAUUCCCGGUGUAGCGGUGGAAUGCGUAGAUAUCGGGAGGAACACCAGUGGCGAAGGCGGCAUACUGGGCACCAACUGACGCUGAGGCUCGAAAGUGUGGGUAGCAAACAGGAUUAGAUACCCUGGUAGUCCACACCGUAAACGAUGAUUACUAGGUGUUGGAGGAUGAACCCCUUCAGUGCCGCAGUUAACACAAUAAGUAAUCCACCUGGGGAGUACGACCGCAAGGUUGAAACUCAAAGGAAUUGACGGGGGCCCGCACAAGCAGUGGAGUAUGUGGUUUAAUUCGACGCAACGCGAAGAACCUUACCAAGUCUUGACAUCCUGCGACGCACAUAGAAAUAUGUGUUUCCUUCGGGACGCAGAGACAGGUGGUGCAUGGUUGUCGUCAGCUCGUGUCGUGAGAUGUUGGGUUAAGUCCCGCAACGAGCGCAACCCUUACUGUCAGUUACUACGCAAGAGGACUCUGGCAGGACUGCCGUCGACAAAACGGGGGAAGGUGGGGAUGACGUCAAAUCAUCAUGCCCUUUAUGACUUGGGCUACACACGUACUACAAUGGCGUUAAACAAAGAGAAGCAAGACCGCGAGGUGGAGCAAAACUCAGAAACAACGUCCCAGUUCGGACUGCAGGCUGCAACUCGCCUGCACGAAGUCGGAAUUGCUAGUAAUCGUGGAUCAGCAUGCCACGGUGAAUACGUUCCCGGGCCUUGUACACACCGCCCGUC
rnacentral:rRNA from 1 species